rnacentral:miRNA from 1 species
UUCUCUCUCUCUCUCUCUCUCUCUCUCUCUCUGUGUGUGUGUGUGUGUGUGAGCGUGUGUGUGUGUGUGUGUGUGUGAGAGAGAGAGAGAGAGAGAGAGAGAGAGAGAU